rnacentral:rRNA from 2 species
GACGAACCGUCCAAACGUUAUUCGGUAUCACUGGGCUUAAAGCGUGCGUAGGCGGCCUGGUAGGUGAGGUGUGAAAUCCCACGGCUCAACCGUGGAAUUGCGCUUCAAACCACCAGGCUCGAGGAAGAUAGGGGUGAUGGGAACUUAUGGUGGAGCGGUGAAAUGCGUUGAUAUCAUAGGGAACACCGGUGGCGAAAGCGCAUCACUGGAUCUUUACUGACGCUGAGGCACGAAAGCUAGGGUAGCGAACGGG